UACGGAGGGUGCAAGCGUUAUCCGGAUUCACUGGGCGUAAAGGGUGCGUAGGCGGUCGGGUAAGUCUGAUGUGAAAUCUCACAGCUUAACUGUGAAACUGCAUUGGAUACUAUCCGGCUUGAGGAAUGGAGGGGAGACUGGAAUACUUGGUGUAGCAGUGAAAUGCGUAGAUAUCAAGUGGAACACCAGUGGCGAAGGCGAGUCUCUGGACAUUUCCUGACGCUGAGGCACGAAAGCCAGGGGAGCAAACGGG
rnacentral:rRNA from 1 species